AGUGAACGCUGGCGGUAGGCCUAACACAUGCAAGUCGAACGGCAGCACAGUAAGAGCUUGCUCUUACGGGUGGCGAGUGGCGGACGGGUGAGGAAUACAUCGGAAUCUACUUUUUCGUGGGGGAUAACGUAGGGAAACUUACGCUAAUACCGCAUACGACCUACGGGUGAAAGCAGGGGAUCUUCGGACCUUGCGCGAUUGAAUGAGCCGAUGUCGGAUUAGCUAGUUGGCGGGGUAAAGGCCCACCAAGGCGACGAUCCGUAGCUGGUCUGAGAGGAUGAUCAGCCACACUGGAACUUAGACACGGUCCAGACUCCUACGGGAGGCAGCAGUGGGGAAUAUUGGACAAUGGGCGCAAGCCUGAUCCAGCCAUACCGCGUGGGUGAAGAAGGCCUUCGGGUUGUAAAGCCCUUUUGUUUGGAAAGAAAAGCAGCCGGUUUAUACCCCGCUGUUCUGACGGUACCCAAAGAAUAAGCACCGGCUAACUUCGUG
rnacentral:rRNA from 1 species